UCCCAAACCUCAGUCCACGUCAGAAUCACCAAAGGGCCUGAUGCAUCCCAGAUUCCAGUCCCUUCUCUCCAUCCCAGACAUUCUGCUGAGGCAACUACCACAUUUAAGUGGACAAGUUCAUCAUUAAUAUUUAACUCAUGAGGCCUCUCUUGGAUCAGCUUUUCUUCACUGAUCAUUCAUCUUUGAGG